rnacentral:lncRNA from 10 species
UGAUUUACUUUCAAAUCGCCUCUGAAGAAACCUAUUAGUCAGUCAACUGCAGAAAAACUUCUCCAUAAUAUCUACCUGGAAUAUAUCUUGCUUCCAUUCACCUUCUUCCUUUGUCAAGGACUCUCAGGAGGAAUACAGUCUUUGUCAGUCAUAAAGGAAGGAAGAGUCAAUGACAUAGGAUCCCAAACACGGCUAAAAUGUCUCAUAUCUAAUGCUGUACUCCCCCUCUUAACCAAAAUUUGUGUCAGGAAAAGGCACAAAACUCCACCAAAGGAUUACGGUACCUUAAUCCAAGGAAGUUGUAUAGAGUGAAAAAUUAUGUGGUACACAAGACAGAAGAAAAGCCAAA